CAGUCCACGCCGUAAACGAUGGAUACUAGGUGUCCGGGAUAUUAACCUCCUGGGUACUACAGUUAACGCGUUAAGUAUCCCGUCUGGGGAGUACGGUCGCAAGGCUAAAACUCAAAGGAAUUGACGGGGGCCCGCACAAGCGGUGGAGUAUGUGGUUUAAUUCGAAGCAACGCGCAGAACCUUACCUACCCUUAACAUUUCACGACGUAUACAGAGAUGUAUAUUUCUCUUCGGAGACGUGAGGAUAGGUGCUGCAUGGCUGUCGUCAGCUCGUGUCGUAAGAUGUCUGGUUAAGUCCAAUAACGAGCGCAACCCUUAUCCUUAGUUACCAACAUUAAGUUGGGGACUCUAGGGAGACUGCCGGUGUUAAACCGGAGGAAGGCGGGGAUGACGUCAAGUCAUCACGGCCCUUACGUCCUGGGCCACACACGUGCUACAAUGGCGAGUACAGAGGGCAGCUACCUAGUGAUAGGAUGCAAAUCUCUAAAACUCGUCUCAGUUCGGAUUGAAGUCUGCAACUCGACUUCA
rnacentral:rRNA from 1 species